UUGUCCUAAAAAAAUCCACGACGGUUAACCUACGAAGAAAGACCUACGCCCCGACCGCCGCCCGCGGGUCGCCCGCUCCCUCGCGCCCCUGUUGCUCCCUCCUCGACCCCGAUCUGGAUCGAGGGGACGAGGAGCUCCUGCCUCCCCGACGGCCGGCCUCCUCCUCGCCCCGCUGCUGCGUCCGGCGCCGCCACGGCCUCUGGAGCCAGGGAAGCCAUGGCCUGAGCUCGGCCUCGAGGUCCCCGCCGCUGUCUCCUGCAGCUUCUGCCCCGCCGCCUCACCGCCCAAGCUCGCCGUCGCACCAACCUCGGCGGCGCGCCGCCGCCGGCUCUGGUCGCCUCCACCUCCGCUCCAGUGCUUAAGGAUGGAGGAGAACGGCCUGGAGUUCGUGCUCGAUCUGGUGGUCAGGUUCCCACUUCGGCAAGAGUUCGCCGAUGACCUUAAGCACUCCGAUCCGGUGCCACUAAGGCUGCCACCCAGGGGGAGGCUGGCGCUCUUGGCACGGAGGAUUCAAUUGGUGAAUCUGCGGAAGUUGGAUUCGGUAUUAGAUAUGGGGAAAGCCGACUAAAUGCAGAAGAUAGAGUGCAGUUGUUCACUAAGUUCUGUGGGAAAGCCUAAGGCUGAGAAAAGCCGACCAUGCAUGUACGAGUGUCCCGCGCUGAUCAGGGAGAAGGUUCAUUGGCACAUAGACUUCUGUGUUAACAGGGCGACAACGUCAAGGAUGGCAUCUGCGAGAACUCUUUUGUGUUAGAUAAAUUGAUGAUUAUGUCUAGAUCUCCGGGGGCAGACACUAUCAUACUGAAGCUCAGCCGGACCACGACUGUCAACAGGGUCACCGUAUUCUUUGAGGAACACAAACAAUCCAGCUAUCAUAAGGAUGAGGACGGAGCACAACUCUCUCAAUUCCCAAAAUGAGGUGGACAACGCUUAGCUUACAUGUUCUUUGAGGACGGAGGAAGUUUCGCCUUAAACACAACUUUUAUCUGCUCUGAAAGAGUUACAUAUUUUGAAGUUUUUGCAACUCAGCCUGAAAGAGUUGGGUAACCAAACUCAAAAUGAGGUGGACAGUGCUCAGCGUGCAGUCACAUUGAGUAUUAGUUUCAUGGGUUAAUUUAGCACUGCGUAUUAUUAAUUGUGUUUCUAUUUUUGUUUCUCUCCAGCAAGCAUGACAAUAACAAGUUUAUAUCCAUCAGUUUCUUAGUACCCUGUUGGUUUCAGUAUUAAAUGGCCACAACACUUUCCUAUUUUGUUUGAGUUUUCAUGUGCUACUCUAUUAGGAAUAACAACUAAAAACAAUGAACGUUUGAUUUGAUUUCCUUCCCAACACAAGCAACAAAUCUAUAAUACCUAAAUAGUUCAUCCCCACUAUCUUAUUUCUCUUAACAUGCAAACUAUCCACAUCACUAAUAACAUGCAACCAUCCAUCUUACUACACCUCAGCAGUCUAGCCACAUCAUCAGCUAUAGUGCUACAUGAGCAACUUUUUCCCGUGCAUGAAGUCAGAUCGUGCCUUCCGUUGCCAGCGUGUAAAUUGAGCCCUUUCUUUUCAUCUUCAGGUGGUAAACUAUGCAACCCAUCGACUCCUCUCUCUCUCUCUCUCUUUAAUAAAAUAGAAAAAAACGAUUGAACCCUCAACCGGUCGAGCCCUUAUCUUUUCCCUUAUAUAUUCGUGCGGCACACACGCGAGGGCAAGCAAACGCCUCCAGCCGCGAGUGAGUGUCAUCAACGAUCGCGCUGCCUGGCCGGGCGUUCCGGUGACGGGAGGGAUUCAAUUCCCGCAUGUUAUCUCUGAUGCAUAUGUGCAGGUAUAUAGCCAAGGUGGAUAAUACACAUGUGGCUUCUCCUGCACAACGUCGGUCCGGCUCUCCUCCAUGGCACUCCGGGAUUUUCUCGGGCGUGCCUCCCCUUACCGGUGCAGUGCCCUGGUCCUCCCCUUCCUUCUAUGUUUCUAUUCCGGCCAAGGUCGAUCCGGCGUCGUUCCUCCACCAGUCCUCUACCCCGCCCUAGCCAGCUGAAGCCUCUCCGUGCGUCCAUACCGACGUCGCCUACCUCCCCCGGUCAUCUGUACCAGCCAAGGCGGCCACACAACCAAUCCCAGCCAAGCAGGCAGCACAACUAGCAGAAACCAUAUCGGAAGUAGCGCUCCUCCUAUAGACGUUUCUGCUACACACUCUAGCUAAGUUGUGGAAUUUUUUCCUUUGCAAUUUUGAGAUACUGAAGUGUUGCACAAUGAAGUGUCCUUCAUGCGUAAUCAAGAUCUGAUCGUGCAUAAGAAGAUUGGUUCAUUAAUGACAAGUUUCUUUCCGAUUCUUAUAGUCCCUAUAUUCCUCUUUGACAUAGGAUGUAGAUCCAUCAUCUUUAUUUUCUGUUUUUUAUGGCUCU